UGUGGGAGCGGGCUUGCUCGCGAAGGCGGUGUGUCAGCCAGCAUAUUCGGUACUGGCACACCGCAUUCGCGAGCAAGCCCGCUCCCACA
rnacentral:misc_RNA from 1 species